rnacentral:rRNA from 1 species
CUGGGCCGCACGCGCGCUACACUGACAGAGCCAGCGAGUCUACCACCUUUGCCGGAAGGCAUGGGUAAUCUUGUGAAACUCUGUCGUGAUGGGGAUAGAACAUUGCAAUUAUUGUUCUUCAACGAGGAAUACCUAGUAAGCGUGAUUCAUCAGAUCGCGUUGAUUACGUCCCUGCCCUUUGUACACACCGCCCGUCGCUACUACCGAUUGAAUGGCUUAGUGAGGCCUCCGGAUUGGCUAUUGGGAGCUCGCGAGAGCACCCGACUGCCGAGAAGUUGUACGAACUUGGUCAUUUAGAGGAAGUAAAAGUCGUAACAAGGUUUCCGUAGGUGAACCUGCGGAAGGAUCAUUAGUGAAUCUAGGACGUCCAACUUAACUUGGAGUCCGAACUCUCACUUUCUAACCCUGUGCAUCUGUUUUAAAAUUGGCUAGUAGCUCUUCGGAGCGAACCACCAUUUUUCACUUAUACAAACACAAAGUCUAUGAAUGUAAACAAAUUUAUAACAAAACAAAACUUUCAACAACGGAUCUCUUGGCUCUCGCAUCGAUGAAGAACGCAGCGAAAUGCGAUACGUAAUGUGAAUUGCAGAAUUCAGUGAAUCAUCGAAUCUUUGAACGCACCUUGCGCUCCUUGGUAUUCCGAGGAGCAUGCCUGUUUGAGUGUCAUGAAAUCUUCAACCCACCUCUUUCUUAGUGAAUCUGGGGGGUGCUUGGUUUCUGAGCGCUGCUCUGCUUCGGCUUAACUCGUUCGUAAUGCAUUAACCAUCCCCCACCGAAACUUCCGGAUUGGCUUGGCGUAAAAAAACUAAUUCCCCUGAAGGAAUUCCCAAACUUUGUUUCUGGGAACCCCAAAUUUUGGGUUUAAAAGGGAAACCUUUCCAAAACCCCAAAAAGGCCCAAUUUUUUUUGGAAUUAAAAAACCCCCCAAAACCCGGGGGAGGGGAACUUACCCCCCCCUGGAAA